UUACCGAGUUUUCGAGCUCCGGCUCGACUCUCCCACCCUUUGUGAACGUACCUCUGUUGCUUUGGCGGCUCCGGCCGCCAAAGGACCUUCAAACUCCAGUCAGUAAACGCAGACGUCUGAUAAACAAGUUAAUAAACUAAAACUUUCAACAACGGAUCUCUUGGUUCUGGCAUCGAUGAAGAACGCAGCGAAAUGCGAUAAGUAAUGUGAAUUGCAGAAUUCAGUGAAUCAUCGAAUCUUUGAACGCACAUUGCGCCCCUUGGUAUUCCGGGGGGCAUGCCUGUUCGAGCGUCAUUACAACCCUCAAGCUCUGCUUGGAAUUGGGCACCGUCCUCACUGCGGACGCGCCUCAAAGACCUCGGCGGUGGCUGUUCAGCCCUCAAGCGUAGUAGAAUACACCUCGCUUUGGAGCGGUUGGCGUCGCCCGCCGGACGAACCUUCUGAACUUUUCUCAAGGUUGACCUCGGAUCAGGUAGGGAUACCCGCUGAACUUA
rnacentral:rRNA from 1 species